UACAGAGGUCCCAAGCGUUACUGAGAAUCACUGGGUUUAAAGGGUGCGUAGGUGGUCCGUUAAGUCAGUUGUGAAAUCCCCGGGCUCAACCCGGGAACUGCUUCUGAUACUGGCGGACUUGAGGCCAGUAGGGGUCACUAGAACUGACGGUGGAGCGGUGAAAUGCGUAGAUAUCGUCAGGAAUGCCGGUGGUGAAGACGGGUGACUGGGCUG
rnacentral:rRNA from 1 species